AGCGAACGCUGGCGGCAGGCUUAACACAUGCAAGUCGAGCGGGCAUCUUCGGAUGUCAGCGGCAGACGGGUGAGUAACACGUGGGAACGUACCCUUCGGUUCGGAACAACUCUGGGAAACUGGAGCUAAUACCGGAUACGCCCUUAUGGGGAAAGGUUUACUGCCGAAGGAUCGGCACGCGUCUGAUUAGCUAGCUGGUGAGGUAACGGCCUACCAAGGCGACGAUGCGAAGCCGUUCUGAGAGGGUGAUCCGCCACACGGGAACUGAGACUCGGCCCAGACUCUGACGGUAGGAAGCAGUAGGGAAUCUUACGCGAGGCGGCAGUGCGGGAUAGAGCACCACGGCGGCAAGGCUGAACCACUCAUGACGGGAGAACUAUGUUAUUAGUAAAGUACAAAUGCGUAAUUAUCCGUGACGGUAUUGACGGUACCGGAAGAGUAAGCCCCGGCUAACUACGUG
rnacentral:rRNA from 1 species